GACAUGGCUCAGAUCUGGCGUGGCUGUGGUGUAGGCCAGCAGUUACAGCUCCAGUUUUGCCCUAGCCUGGGAGCCUCCAUAUGCUGCGGGUGUGGCCCGAAAAAGACACACACACAUACACAAAACCACCUAAGCUCAUUUACUCUAGGUGACAGGUUGGGGCAGGCCACAAUUCUUGAAUUGUAGUUUCCCUUUCUGUGGAUUUUAGAACCUAACUCACAAACUUGUAAGGACAAGCAAAGACUGUACAAGAUUUGUGGGCACAUUAUAAAAUACUCUAGAUAUAUUCUUUAACUGUGAAUAUUGUAAGUGGAAAUAGAUAAUGUGAUACUGGAUAUAAUAUGGCAACUGCUUUAGAUGUGGGGUGGUCAGGGAGAGGGAAAGAUAAAGACAUUUGUUUUCUGGAUGAUUGGAAACAUGUGGUGCAGUUCAUAGAACUAGGAAGGUCAAAGGAAGAAGAGUUGGUUCAGUAGGGAAGCUGAUUAAUUCAAUUUUGGAUGCAUAUAAUUUGGAGUGCUGGUGAGGUAUCCAAGUGAGUAUGUGUGGCAGGCAAUUGAAAUGUGGACUUGGAGUUUGAGAGAGGAGUGAGGCUAGACAUACAAAUUGAGACUCAUCAAGUUACUGAAAUCUUGCUGAGUUCAUAAACUUUGUUAUUGCCUGAAUGUAUGUGUCUUUGUGCCCCACCUCACCCCCAUAUUUCAUAUGUUGAAGCCCUAAUUCCCAAUAUGAUGGUAUAAAAACGUGGGGCAUUUUGGAGGUAAUUACGUCAUAAAGGUGUAGCUCUCAAAAUUGGGAUUAAGGAUUAGUGCCCUUCAAAAAAGAUGAUGCUUCUUUUGGCCAUGUGAGAACACAGCAAGGAGGUGGCUGUCUGCAAAACAAGAGGGGGGCUCUCACUGGACGUUGCAUCUGCUGACACCCUGACCUUGGACUUGCCAGCCUCAGAACUGUGAGAAAUAAAUGUUAUUUCAGCCAUCCAGUCUAUGGUAUUUAUUACAGCUGCCUGAACUACAACAGGCUUCUCACCAGGUUUUGAGAAGACCCUUUUCUUGCUAUUUAAGAUGCUUGCAACCUGGUGGAUUAAUUUUAUUAGAAACUUUAGAAAGAAUAAUAAUACCCAGUAUUUAUUGAGCAUUGGCUGUAUACCAGGUACUGUUCCAGGUGUUUUAGGUAUUUCAGUUUAUUUAAUCUUUAAAAUAAACACCGUGAGGCUGCUUCCUAUCCUCAUCAUUACAGAUGAGAUGUCUGAAAUAAAGAAUCAUUAAGUAGUUACUCCGGGUCGCAAUAAGUGACAGCACAAUUCAAACCCAGGCAUUCUUACUCUAAGUGUUUAACUUUACAUAAUGCUUAUAGCUUAACACUAUACUAUGCUGUCUCUAUGAGUGUCUCUGGAAAAAGAGGGUAAAGGAGAGAAACUUGGGAGUGGCCAGAGAGUGACAAAACUUUUCCCCUACACAUAGAAUAGUGUUCAGGCUUCGUUGCAACUAAGUACUUGAAUUUUAUAAUGAGAUUUCCAUCUCUUCGUGUUUCAAUGAAGAAAGUAAAUUAUUGUGUGGUUAAGUUUUGAUAUGCUAAAGCAAUCUCUUGAGCAGCCACCAGUUAUGAAGUGGGUCUCUGAAUGAAAGUGUCCAGCUGAGAAGGGGCAAUGGCUAUCUCCAACAGUACUAGCCUGAUAGCUUGUAGACAGCAUUGGAAAUCCUUAAAUCAUAGCGCAUUUACAGUUCUUAGGAGUGGAGGACAGUGCUUUUAUGUAUUUUCAUCAUCAAAUUGGAUAAAUAAUUUGUCUUUAUGAUUAAAUUUAUCCUAAUUUAAGGUAGCAGAAAUGCUUUCAGAUAGUUUCUUACAAUAGCAGCUUCUGUAGUGGUGUGCUUACUGCAUGCCAAGUAUCUAGGCUACAUGCUUUACAUUUAUUUCGUGCUGAAGGUGUUGUUUGGCUUUAGCAAAAUCUUUUUUUUUUUUUUAAACAUGUGAAUUUAUGCCAGAACUUGAUUAUGUUUGUAAGAGAAGCUUUAUUUUAAACUUACCAUGAUUAUUAUAAGGUAAAAAUUUACAGUUGUGGCUAGAAGAAAUAAUAUCUACACUUAUCAUGUCAAAGUAGAUCAUUGUUUUUGUAUUGAAAAAGUUUGCUUUUUUUUUUUUUUUUUGGCUUUUUAGGGCUGCAUAUGGAGGUUCCCAGGCUAGGGGUUGAAUUAGAGCCAUAGCUGCUGGACUGUGGCACUGCCAUAGCAAUGCAGGAUCUGAGCCGCGUCUGUGACCUAUACCACAGCUCAGGGCAAUGCCGGAUCCUUAACCCACUGAGCAAGGCCAGGGAUCGAACCUGCAUCCUCAUGGAUGCUAGUCAGAUUCGUUAACCACUGAGCCAUGAUGGGAAGUCCCCUGCACUAAAUUUUAAAAAAAACUUAAUUUGUGCACUCUCAUCUUGUUUCAGUUUUAUUCAGUUAAAAAGGAUACUAGUUUAGAAAGUUUUUUUUGAGCAAAAUAGUAAUAUGUUUGAAAAAAUUUUUCAAUGUAGUUACCUAAAAGUUGUUUGAUAUGAGUGAACUAGAAAGGUCAUUUUCAGUUGGUUAACUUGAGAAACUGCCUUUGGUGAAAUAUUUAAAUGCUCACUUUUGUGUGUGUGUGUGUGUGCUUUUUAUUUUUAUUUUUUAAUUUUUUUUUUUUUGGUCUUUUUUUGCUAUUUCUUGGGCCGCUCCCGAGGCAUAUGGAGAUUCCCAGGCUAGGGGUCAUAUUGGAGCUACAGCUGCCAGCCUAUGCCACAGCCGUGCCAGAUCCGAGCUGAUUUGGUGGCCUACACCACAGCUCAUGGCAAUGCCAGAUUCUUGACCCACUGAGUGAGGCCAGGGAUCGAACCCACAACCUCAUGGUUCCUAGUUGGAUUCAUUUCCGCUGCGCCACAACAAGAACUCCAAUGCUGACGUUUUUAAAAAAGUAAGCAUGUGCAUCUCAUUUUGGUAGAACCUGUAUAUUUUAUACUUCAUCUAUAUACUAAUUAAAUUACCUGCCAAGUACUAAAUACAUUGUUACAGCUCAGAGGCCUAGUUUGUUUUGUAACAUGCAUGAAAUGAAUUGCCUAAAAUUCUUUGAUUAAAUGGCCCUGUAGCAAGAUAUUGAGUUAAAACUGGUCUAAUGUGAUUGUAAGAGUAAACUGUAUCUAUUAAAGGUGGGAAAUUGCUAAUGUUUUGAAGAAGGCCCUUCUGCAACCUGGGUUUCUACCGUUUUUGUGAACCUCUGUUACCAGUAUUUGCUUUAACAUGUUAAGUUCUUUUAAAAAGGAGGAGCUUACCUAUGUUUCAUUCUAUGCAUAGUGGUUAGGAAUCUGGGGUCUGUGUUUAGAUUAUUUGAAUAGAUAUCUCCACUCUAGCACUUACAGGGUAAUCUUUGGCAAGUCUUUUAUGCCUUAACCUCAAUUUCUUCUCUAAAAGGUAGGCAGUCCUACUGCUUAAUUUCAGAGAGUGGUUGUUAUACACUUGCACAUAGUAGAUAUUUAUUAAAUGUUUUCUAGUCUUUAAUAUUCCUUACUAAAAUUCCUUUUUAUUUAAUGUAUUAUUUACUCCAUGGACUUUUAACAGCAUAUUAAGAAAUAUUUUCUUGUCAGUAAAUAUUCACAUAAUGUUAAUGGCUGUAUGAUAUUUCAGCAUGCUAUUUGUCAUCUGUAACCAUUUCAUUAUUGUGCAAAUAGGGUUGUAUCAGUUAAUUUUGCUAAGUAUAGCAUUUUGUAAUACUUUUUUGGAUAAUAUUCUUGAACACGAAUCUUUGUCUAGUGCUCCUGUUUCAGGCAACACUAAAACACACAUAAAAAUUAUAUUGUGUAAAAAAGUAAAAAUCGUGUACAAGUUUUCAAUAGAAUUUGAAUUUCUUGUUCAGGAGUUUGAGGUAGAGGUUUUUUUCUUGGAGCAGAAAGAUCUAAAUUACUGUCAUCAGAAAGUAUUAGUAGACACUUUUAAACACUAGGCCAUCUUGUUGGAAUUUGUAUAGGGGUGCUAUUCUGUACUUCAGUUUUAUUUUACAAUGUUAAUAUAAAUGCAGAUACAGAGUACUCUGUUCAAAAAUAGUCUGUACAAAAAAAAUAGACUGUACAACUUGCAGAAAGAGUACUAUAUUAUAAAAUCUGUUUUUGUGGGGUGAAGAGAGUUGGGAUGUUUGAGUGGUUUGUUUUUUUUUCUUUCUUUCUUUCUUUCAGGCAGCCUCAUUCCAAUCAGCAGUGUAAUUGGAAUGCAACUCCAAUCUGGAGGAGGAAGGGAAAUUUUUGGCAAGAACAUACUGAGCAGUUGGGAGUUUUAUUCAGAUUUAGCAUAGGCAGCUAUUCAUUAUGAGUACAACUCAGUGAGAACAGCAAUAGCAUUCUCUUUCUACAGUUAGGAUUUAUACUCUGGUAUUAUUAGUGCAUUGCAUAUAGAUAGCUUCUUUCCAACCAGAAAAAGAUUAAUGAUUUAAAUGAAGUGGUAAUAUUUAUUGCAUCUGCACUUCUGCAAAUAGUUUCCUCCAGUCACUGCCUCAAAUAAAGUAUACUAAAGGAGAGUUGUGUGCAGUUUAAAAAUAUUUCUUGAGAAAACAAAAGCAUUUAUGGCAUGAUAUUUAACUUUGUGUCCAACCUGCAAGAUUUGAGGGCGUUUAUCUUUUUAUCUGCAUUAUCUAUUAUUGCACUUGGCAUAAAGUGGGUGUUCAAGAAAUGUUGAAUGAAAGCAUGAAUGCACAGUGUUCCCUUCUCAUUAAGCAUCUCAAGACAGUCACAUCUGCUUGUGUGUGAAAUAGGAGUUACCAGUUUACCAGCAAGGCUGACCUUAGGUUAUUUUGAUUAUCUCCUCUACCUUUUUCAAAUCUGUCUGCUGAAGAAUAGAAUAGCUAGAAGAAGCUAGGUUUUGGGAAUGUAGACUUAAGAACAGGAAAUGCUUUGAAGAAAUUUGAGACAGUAACAUCAUCAAAUUAGUCUUGUAAAAUUAAUCUAGGGCCAAAUCUACAGUCUGGGUGAGACAUGGUCCCUCAUAUAACGUGAAGUAAUGGUACUGUGCUGGUGUAAUGCCACAUUCGUAGUUAACAUUAUGCAAAAUUGGUAUGUGGCUGCCAAAUAGCUGGAGUCUCGUGUAAUGUUUUUAGUACAGAAAUUAGUGAAAGUUCAUUGAAUUACAUUCCUAAGGCUUCUGCACUUUUCUGUAUGUAUUCCUUCCAUAUAAAGCAUGCUAAACAUUAAAAAUACUGAAAUACUGGCAGUGGUAUAGGAGAAAGUCUGCAUGCCUUAGCCUUUGUUCUGGCCCCAUUCACCUUAAAAAGUUUCUCUCCUGCUAGUCCCUUCCUCUAAUUUAGUUCAGUGUUUCUCAACAGAAUUUUUACUUCUCUCCUAUAGUAAUCAUUUAGAAAACAGAAAUGGAAGUUCUUUGUACUGCUACACUUCCCUAGCACCACAAUCCCCAAUAUUGGCCCAACUCUCUAGUUUCUAUUACAGAAAAAAUGAUACAUUUGCAAAUAUAAAUUCAUGCAAAUAUAAAUGUAAAAUUAACACUACAAAUAUAAAAAUCACAUUAUAAUAUUAUGCAUACAUUUUUAAGGAGAUUCUGAUAUAUACCUCUUUUUUUUUGUGUGUGUGUCUUUUUGUCUCUUGUUGUUGUUGCUAUUUCUUGGGCCGCUCCCGCGGCAUAUGGAGGUUCCCAGGCCAGGGGUCUAAUCGGAGCUGUAGCCACCGGCCUAUGCCAGAGCCACAGCAACGCGGGAUCCGCGCUGCGUCUGCAGCCUACACCACAGCUCACGGCAACGCCGGAUCGUUAACCCACUGAGCAAGGGCAGGGACCGAACCCGCAACCUCAUGGUUCCUAGUCGGAUUCGUUAACCACUGCGCCACGACGGGAACUCCUAUACCUCUUUAAUUGAGAAUUUGUUAUGGUGACAAAUAGGAGUUUGUCCUAAUAAAAUUCAUUAAUUCAUUGAGCAUUUAAUGAGCUCCUAUAAUUGAUACUGAGGAUGGAAAGAGCAAUGGGCUGUGAGUCUAGUACCUAGAAUACAUUCCCAAGAAAAAGGACAGUAAAGGCUCCAAGGGAUAAUAAUUUAUUCAUGCAAAUAAGUUACCAAAUCUCAAAUGAUGCUUGACAGUUUCCUUUUAAGAUGUAUAAAUUUGAGUUUUUACUUUUGGGGUGUAAAGUAAUUUAAAAACUGUUGGUGAGUUCACCGUGUGGCUCAGUGGUAAUGAACCCAACUACUGUCCAUGAGGAUGCAGGUUUGAUCCCUCGCCUUAUUACUCAGUGGGUUAAGGAUCCUGCGUUGCUGUGAGCUGUGGUAUAGGUCACAGAUGGGGCUCAGAUCCUGUGUUGCUGUGGCUGUGGUGUAGGCCAGCAGCUGCAGCUCCGAUUUGACCCCUAGCCUGGGAACUUCCAUAUGCCAUGGAUGUGGCCAAAAAAAAACAAAAAAAAAAAAACAAAAA
ensembl:lncRNA